GAGGAAUAUUGGUCAAUGGACGGAAGUCUGAACCAGCCAAGUAGCGUGCAGGAUGACGGCCCUAUGGGUUGUAAACUGCUUUUGUAUGGGGAUAAAGUUAGGGACGUGUCCCUAUUUGCAGGUACCAUACGAAUAAGGACCGGCUAAUUCCGUGCCAGCAGCCGCGGUAAUACGGAAGGUCCAGGCGUUAUCCGGAUUUAUUGGGUUUAAAGGGAGCGUAGGCUGGAGAUUAAGUGUGUUGUGAAAUGUAGACGCUCAACGUCUGAAUUGCAGCGCAUACUGGUUUCCUUGAGUACGCACAACGUUGGCGGAAUUUGUCGUGUAGCGGUGAAAUGCUUAGAUAUGACGAAGAACUCCGAUUGCGAAGGCAGCUGACGGGAGCGCAACUGACGCUUAAGCUCGAAGGUGCGGGUAUCAAACAGGAUUAGAUACCCUGGUAGUCCGCACAGUAAACGAUGGAUGCCCGCUGUUGGUACCUGGUAUCAGCGGCUAAGCGAAAGCAUUAAGCAUCCCACCUGGGGAGUACGCCGGCAACGGUG
rnacentral:rRNA from 1 species